UACAGAGGGGGCAAGCGUUAUUCGGAAUUAUUGGGCGUAAAGGGCGCGUAGGCGGCUUUUCAAGUGACGGGUGAAAUCCCUCGGCUUAACCGGGGAACUGCAUCUGAUACUGGAUGGCUUGAGUUCGGGAGAGGGAUGCGGAAUUCCAGGUGUAGCGGUGAAAUGCGUAGAUAUCUGGAGGAACACCGGUGGCGAAGGCGGCAUCCUGGACCGGCAUUGACGCUGAGGCGCGAAAGCCAGGGGAGCAAACGGG
rnacentral:rRNA from 1 species